rnacentral:rRNA from 1 species
UACGAAGGGGGCUAGCGUUGUUCGGAUUUACUGGGCGUAAAGCGCACGUAGGCGGAUCGAUCAGUCAGGGGUGAAAUCCCAGAGCUCAACUCUGGAACUGCCUUUGAUACUGUCGAUCUGGAGUAUGGAAGAGGUGAGUGGAAUUCCGAGUGUAGAGGUGAAAUUCGUAGAUAUUCGGAGGAACACCAGUGGGCGAAGGCGGCUCACUGGUCCAUUACUGACGCUGAGGUGCGAAGCGUGGG